AUGAUCAGACCUGCUUUGGGCAACAAAUUCUUGCUUCUUUCUUCUGUUGGAAUCUUCAGCAUAAUAAGCAAUUUAAUCAGCUCAGCUUCACGAAAAUGCUUCAGAUAUUUGCAUUUUAGCACUACUUGUCUUCCUUUUUCCUUAUUAAAGCUGACAAUGGAUGCUCAGAAGAUGUCAAACAGGAACAGAACUCACCCUUUAUCAUGACCCAGGUUGCUUAAAACUGAAGUGUGGUAAAUUGGGCAUGUCUAAAAUGGAGCUGUCAAGUUUAAAAGGUUUAAUAUGGAAUUUUUCCCUACAGAUCUCAAACAGACUAAUAUAGCUAGGCACUUGUACUUCUCUUGAGUUAUAGAACACUUGAAAAAUACUUAUCAAGCUACUAAAAAUGUUUUCUUUUUUUGAAAGGUAGUACCAUUUUAAUUAGUGUUGUAGAAACAAAACCAAAGAAAUUAAAAAUUCCCAAAGUAACAAGGCAGGAAAUAAUUUUAUAAUCCCAAAACACUGGGUGAUCCUUUAGUUGGUGGGUGGAAGAGGUCAAGUUAGUAGCUCACGUAAUAGAUAUUGAGAAAUGCAGAGUUGAGGUUGGUAUGACUACUAGGAGGCUAAGUUCUCCACCUAUGGUAAGGGGGCAAGUGGAAUUAUUACAUAAUCCAUUAUUUCCUUCUACAAAUGCCCAUGUGAUUCUUUUUUUUAAAAUAUUUUAUUUAUUUCUGAGAGACAGAGAGAGAGAGGCAGAGACAUAGGCAGAGGGAGAAGCAGGCUAUCUGCAGGAGCCUGAUGUGGGACUUGAUCCUGGACCCGGGGAUCACAACCUGAGCCCAAGGCAGACGCCCAACCGCUGAGCCACCCAGGCAUCCCUGCCCAUGUGAUUCUAUAUAGGGUUUCCUCCUAUGCUUUUAUCCUAAGGAUGCAAAUAAGUUUCCCAUUGAAGAUUAGUUUCCCCUGCUUACUAAUAGCCUCAACAAGCACUGUAUUGAGGAGUCUGAGGCCUCUUCAAGCUAAAAUCAGAGUAUCACAAUCCAAGCAGGUCAGGGAGAUAUGAGUUAAAAAUGUUGACACAGAUGCCAAGUAUCAGCUGCAGAGUGAACUGUGUAUAGCACAGGUGUGUUGUUUUUGUGUUUGUUCAGGAUCACGGUCAGUGUAGUUAAUAAGCUGGUGAGCUGAGUACCAAAAGCACUGGAGAAUGUUCCAAAUGAGAGUGUACUGU
rnacentral:lncRNA from 12 species